CCGAGCAGGGCUCCCCGCUGUCUCUGCGCUGAUCCCGUGUCCCGCAAGCCUCGCACCCGCCGGGCAGCCUGGACGGGGACCCUGCGCUCCGCACAUCCCAGUGGAACCUACCGUGGUGCCACCGCUGUCGAGAUCCCCCCGGGUGAGGAGGUCAGCCCCACAGCUCCGCCGGUGACUGACUGCAACUCGAAUUAAAGUAUUACAACAAACAGGAAGUGUUUUCCUGCCAUCCCAACAGUUUAACUGGAGAAUUUGCCCCCAGCACAGGCAGGAUCAGAAAUUCUGAUACAAUGACCUGGUAUGAAGUCACUCUCCUCAGUGCUGUGUUCAUGGCAUUGCCACCCCGCUCUUGCUGCAAGUCACCUUUAGGUACUGAGACAUUGCCAAAGAGAUGGGCCAGGGGACUGUGACAUUUCCACAUUUCCUUUUUUGACAAAAUCAGGACUAUCCCCAGUUGGCAAAUACUAUGAUCUCCGAGCAAUGUGCUGACUGUUUUGUCUGUAGGAGAUAUCACAACCAAACUGCCCUUGCAAGGGAUACGUGGGAGCUGCAAGAAAUGGCAACAGCCAUUCAGAAGGGCUUUCAGCAAGUGGCUGCCAAAUUACGAAACACUCUGGAUUCCAGCAAUGCACAUCUCUGCUGUCUGCUGCACUCGGAGUAUCUGGGAAGAGGAGGAGGAAAACAAGCUUAUCAUUUAUAAAAUUAUUGCUGGUUUUGUGGUUGUGAGGCUCUCUGCAGUGUACAAGAAUAACUUGUUUGUGACAUCAGUAAAACAAGGAUGUGCAACCGAGAGCGUGUUGUCCUCUCCAUGGAUACCACACUCACGUUUUCUCUAACACUGGGUUUUAUCUGAAGAUCAAGUCUCAGGACUUGGGAAGCUGCAUGCCACGGGGACACAACUUGAGACCUGGGCAUCAUGAUGGUUGUAGUCUAGUUCUGAUUUCUCCAGCCACGUGGGGUGACACCGAGAUAAUGCACUGACUCAGCACAGACCCACUGCAAGUGCACGGUGCUUUUUCCCAGAUUGAAAGGUUUUGGCAAAUAACUUUCUAGCUAUUUCUGGAAACUGGAAAGGUCCAUGAGAGAAAUGAGUGUAUGUUCAAGCACAUGUUGAUCCUAGAGACCAAAAAUGGCAAAAAAAUGGGGUAUAACUAUGCUUUCUUCAGCAUAGGGAAAGAUUUGAUCCCUCAUCUGUAAUUAGAAAAGUCACAACUUCUCUUCUUGCUUCUUUUCCAACAAAACAAGGGGAAUUAUGUCCUCCAUGACAUGCUUUUCCCUCUUAAGUGUAGCUAAUACCACUCUAGUGAAUAAAUCAGCCUUACUCAAAACUAAA